rnacentral:snRNA from 1 species
GUACUUUGGAAGUACAUAUGCUAAAAUUGGAUUGAUACAGAGAAGAUUAGCAUGGCCCCUGCGCAAGGAUGACACGCAAAAUCGUGAAGCGUUCCCCAUUUUU